GAUGAACGCUGGCGGCGUGCCUAAUACAUGCAAGUCGAGCGAACAGACGAGGAGCUUGCUCCUCUGACGUUAGCGGCGGACGGGUGAGUAACACGUGGAUAACCUACCUAUAAGACUGGGAUAACUUCGGGAAACCGGAGCUAAUACCGGAUAAUAUAUUGAACCGCAUGGUUCAAUAGUGAAAGACGGUUUUGCUGUCACUUAUAUAUGGAUCCGCGCCGCAUUAGCUAGUUGGUAAGGUAACGGCUUACCAAGGCGACGAUGCGUAGCCGACCUGAGAGGGUGAUCGGCCACACUGGAACUGAGACACGGUCCAGACUCCUGAGGGAGGCAGCAGUAGGGAAUCUUCCGCAAUGGGCGAAAGCCUGACGGAGCAACGCCGCGUGAGUGAUGAAGGUCUUCGGAUCGUAAAACUCUGUUAUUAGGGAAGAACAAAUGUGUAAGUAACUAUGCACGUCUUGACGGUACCUAAUCAGAAAGCCACGGCUAACUACGUG
rnacentral:rRNA from 1 species